GCCAGUCUAAAGACUUUGUGAGAAAGAUCAAAGCCAAAAUUUGCUUGAGGAGGAAGCAAAAUCAAAUCACCCAAGUAGACGAAGAAGAAUAAAUCAAAUUAGGGUUGAAACUACACAUUUUUCUUCUUCUUUUUGUAUAAUCUCUCGAGAAGCUGUAUAUAUAAUAUACGGAAGAUCUUCGCGAUAUUUUCAAUCGGAUCCGAUGGAGCCGCCUCCCUCCGGAUCCCAACCUCUACAGAAAGCCGUUCCGAGACUAGCCACUGUGGGGUGGCGAACUAUGCUCAUCUUCAAUCUCGGUCUUGCAGCUUUUAUAUUUGUGAAAAAACGAGAAAGAGACAUUGAUGCGGGCGAGAGAAUGGGAGUUAAAAAGGGAAGCGAGGCCAGGAGUAAAGCUGCAAAGAAUGUUGUUCACACCGAGGUCGAGAAGAACGUUUCAGAAACUGACAGGGCUAAGAAUCCAGAAUCUGCAGUUCCGGAGAAGGAAGAAGCCAAACCGACGACCCCUAAACCGGAUCCUCUGUUUGAGUUUACGGAUUCAGCAGCUGAUGAGUUGGCGUUGUUUCAGGGCGGUGUGGCGACGACUGAGCAUGUACAGGUAGCAAGGAAAACCGAUUCCAGAGGAUGAGCAAAGGGAGCUUUUCAAGUGGAUCUUGGAAGAGAAAAGGAAGAUGGAACCAAAAGACAGGAAAGAGAAGAGACAGAUCGAUGAAGAGAAAGGUGUCUUGAAACAGUUCAUUCGCGCAGAGAGGGUUCCGAAACUUCUACCUGAUGAUUCUGUUGAUUCUUCGCUUCGUGAUUGGGACAAAUUCUUCUCCUCCAAGUAGAAGAGAGAAACAUAACAACACUAGUGUACUUCGUUUUUUUUCUCGUUGGUACACUCUUUGCCUUUUUACUACAUUGAUUCUGUUGACUCUCUAAUCAACAAAACCGCUUGAAUUUGACCU